rnacentral:rRNA from 1 species
AUUGAACGCUGGCGGCAGGCCUAACACAUGCAAGUCGAACGGUAACAGGGAUCAGCUUGCUGAUUCGCUGACGAGUGGCGGACGGGUGAGUAAUGUCUGGGAAACUGCCUGAUGGAGGGGGAUAACUCCUGGAAACGGUAGCUAAUACCGCAUAACGUCGCAAGACCAAAGAGGGGGACCUUCGGGCCUCUUGCCAUCGGCUGUGCCCAGAUGGGAUUAGCUAGUAGGUGGGGUAACGGCUCACCUAGGCGACGAUCCCUAGCUGGUCUGAGAGGAUGACCAGCCACACUGGAACUGAGACACGGUCCAGACUCCUACGGGAGGCAGCAGUGGGGAAUAUUGCACAAUGGGCGCAAGCCUGAUGCAGCCAUGCCGCGUGUAUGAAGAAGGCCUUCGGGUUGUAAAGUACUUUCAGCGGGGAGGAAGGGAGUAAAGUUAAUAUCUUUGCUCAUUGACGUUACCCGCAGAAGAAGCACCGGCUAACUCCGUG